rnacentral:lncRNA from 1 species
CUAGUAAGAUUACCUCUUUUUUUUAUAAGUGAACGCAAGGCUUACAUAAGAUAGAAUUGAACGAUAUAUUGAAAUAGCCUGAUAAUGAAUGAAAUAUCUUGAAGAAAUUACCUUGGAUUUUGAUUUUAGGUCUUGAAUUCUUUCAGAUCCCACCCGCUUACUUUUGCUAGGCAUAAUAUGCCUCUCUCACUCCUCAUCCAUUAUGAUCACCAAC